rnacentral:rRNA from 1 species
UUUAUGGAGAGUUUGAUCCUGGCUCAGGAUGAACGCUGGCGGCGUGCCUAAUACAUGCAAGUCGAGCGAACAGACAAGGAGCUUGCUCCUUUGACGUUAGCGGCGGACGGGUGAGUAACACGUGGGUAACCUACCUAUAAGACUGGGAUAACUUCGGGAAACCGGAGCUAAUACCGGAUAAUAUUUCGAACCGCAUGGUUCGAUAGUGAAAGAUGGUUUUGCUAUCACUUAUAGAUGGACCCGCGCCGUAUUAGCUAGUUGGUAAGGUAACGGCUUACCAAGGCGACGAUACGUAGCCGACCUGA